UAGGGAAUAUUGGACAAUGGGUGAGAGCCUGAUCCAGCCAUGCCGCGUGCAGGAAGAAGGCGUUAUGCGUUGUAAACUGCUUUUUGCCAGGGGAUAAAAAGACCGUGCGCGGUUAAUUGAAGGUACCUGGUGAAUAAGCCACGGCUAACUACGUGCCAGCAGCCGCGGUAAUACGUAGGUGGCAAGCGUUGUCCGGAUUUAUUGGGUUUAAAGGGUGCGUAGGUGGCCCUGUAAGUCAGUGGUGAAAUAUCUCAGCUUAACUGAGAGGGUGCCAUUGAUACUGCAGGGCUUGAGUACAGAUGAGGUAGGCGGAAUUGACGGUGUAGCGGUGAAAUGCAUAGAUAUCGUCAAGAACACCGAUAGCGAAGGCAGCUUACCAAGCUGUAACUGACACUGAGGCACGAAAGUGUGGGGAUCGAACAGGAUUAGAUACCCUUGUAGUCCCUGAGCGGGCUGGCAAGGCG
rnacentral:rRNA from 1 species